UACAUUAAACCAAUUGGUGAAUUACGGUGCAAUUCCGUAGAAGUGCCGCUACUGUUACAUCCAGAGCCCAAUCUUUUA
rnacentral:ncRNA from 2 species